GCUGCCCCUAGAGGUGUUGCAGGUGUCACUGCUGUGUCACAUGCAUAGGAGUAUGUGGCAGAGAGGAAGGAGGUGUUGUCUCACCUCAGUGUUCUGCACUGUGAACAUCUGAAUGAUCAGUAGUUUAACACU